ACCCUUCUGGUUGCAGCCUGAGAAAUCAGGCUGAUGGCUGGUGACUUUUUGGUCACCAGCCU
rfam:Cronobacter sp. DJ34 Bact_A5_28, whole genome shotgun sequence.